rnacentral:rRNA from 1 species
CAGCAGCCGCGGGAAUACGAAGGGGGCUAGCGUUGCUCGGAAUGACUGGGCGUAAAGGGCGCGUAGGCGGUUUUGACAGUCAGAUGUGAAAUUCCUGGGCUUAACCUGGGGGCUGCAUUUGAGACGUCAAGACUAGAGUGUGAGAGAGGGUUGUGGAAUUCCCAGUGUAGAGGUGAAAUUCGUAGAUAUUGGGAAGAACACCGGUGGCGAAGGCGGCAACCUGGCUCAUUACUGACGCUGAGGCGCGAAAGCGUGGGGAGCAAACAGGAUUAGAUACCCGGGUAGUCCCUGUCUCUUAUAC